rnacentral:tRNA from 1 species
GCCUGGGUGGCUCAGUUGAUUGAGCUUCUGACUUUGACUCAGGUCAUGAUCUCGUAGUUCGUGGGUUUGAGCCUUAUGUCAGGCU